GGAUGACUUGCAGGCUUGGAAAAGACUUGAAAAGCUGGAACCCUUCAGAGUAAUCAAGUCUGGACAAGAUUGCUGACUGGUUAUUUCGUUAAGAGCUGGAAUGGCUAAAGCCCCAGUAUGACUGGCCGCAUUUCCUCAGACUUGCCUGGCCCCUUCUGCCCCUGACCUAUGGGACCCCACCAGAAGGUGCCUUAGACUUGUGGCAAGCUCUUGCGUCUAAGUGGCCCUGCUUUGAGCCAACCUUUUUCUGCUGGCAUUUACCCCCAAGGAAAUUUUAGUGACAUGACAACUGAAUAUCAAAGACCCGAGUUCUCAGAGGCUACUUGGCACUGGUUAUGCAGAGGAACGCAUAAAUCUGAACUUCAGCUAGACAUGAGAAAACAGAGGAGUCACCAAGUUCACUGAGUGGCCAUGACAUGCAACCUUGUUCCCAAGGUCAGUCCAUGGAAAAGAGCCUAUAGAAAGGAAAAGAGAAAAGAAAUGCUCUGCUGUGGACCUCUCUAUUCACUCUGUGCCAGUCAGAGGAGGAAGCAUUG